rnacentral:snRNA from 1 species
GCUGGCUUCGGCAGCACAUACACUAAAAUUGGAAUGAUACAGAGAAGAUUAGCAUAGCCCCUGCGCAAGGAUGACAUGCAAAUUCGUGAAGCGUUCCAUCUAUAC